rnacentral:rRNA from 1 species
UCAGGCCUAACACAUGCAAGUCGUGCGAGAAAGUAUCUUCGGAUAUGAGUAGAGCGGCGGACGGGUGAGUAACGCGUAGGAAUCUACCUAGUAGAAGGGGAUAGCCCGGGGAAACUCGGAUUAAUACCGUAUACCUCCUUCGGGAGAAAGAAGGCCUCUCUUUGAUGCUUUCGCUAUUAGAUGAGCCUGCGUAAGAUUAGCUUGUUGGUGAGGUAAAGGCUCACCAAGGCGACGAUCUUUAGCUGGUCUGAGAGGACGAUCAGCCACAUUGGGACUGAGACACGGCCCAGACUCCUACGGGAGGCAGCAGUGGGGAAUAUUGGACAAUGGGCGCAAGCCUGAUCCAGCCAUACCGCGUGUGUGAAGAAGGCCUUCGGGUUGUAAAGCACUUUAAGCAGGGAGAAAAAGUUAUAAGUUAAUACCUUAUAGCCGUGAUGUUACCUGCAGAAUAAGCACCGGCUAAUUCCGUGCCAGCAGCCGCGGUAAUACGGAAGGUGCAAGCGUUAAUCGGAAUUACUGGGCGUAAAGCGCGCGUAGGUGGUUUGUUAAGUUGGAUGUGAAAGCCCUGGGCUCAACCUAGGAACUGCAUCCAAAACUAACUCACUAGAGUACGAUAGAGGGAGGUAGAAUUCAUAGUGUAGCGGUGGAAUGCGUAGAUAUUAUGAAGAAUACCAGUGGCGAAGGCGGCCUCCUGGAUCUG